UACGUAGGGUGCGAGCGUUGUCCGGAAUUAUUGGGCGUAAAGAGCUUGUAGGCGGUUUGUCGCGUCUGCUGUGAAAAUCCGGGGCUCAACCCCGGACUUGCAGUGGGUACGGGCAGACUAGAGUGUGGUAGGGGAGACUGGAAUUCCUGGUGUAGCGGUGGAAUGCGCAGAUAUCAGGAGGAACACCGGUGGCGAAGGCGGGUCUCUGGGAAGUAACUGACGCUGAGAAGCGAAAGCAUGGGGAGCAAACAGG
rnacentral:rRNA from 1 species